CCUAGCAUGUGAUCAGACUGUACUUGAUACAAACAGCGCUUAGAAAAUGACCAUGGUGUACCUUUCCAUUGUUAUUGUGCGUUCUGUGAAACGGUUGAAACACGAUGUCCGCUCGUGCAGCAUUGGUUGCGCUUCUUUUUGUUUUAAGUCUCGUGACUGCACCUCACCCCGUGUCCAGUAUUCAGUUUGGGAACUCUGUGGAAACGGUUGAAGACUCAGAAGAAUUCGAACAGGAUGUUUCGGGAGAAGACAACGGGCCAUUCGUAGUAAUAUGGCCCGAAUUCGAUGAUGAACUACAAAUGUCAUCGCUGGACACCGCACGCGACGAAUAAAGG